UACGAAGGGGGCGAGCGUUGUUCGGAAUUACUGGGCGUAAAGGGCGCGUAGGCGGCGACCCAAGUCAGAUGUGAAAGUCCUGGGCUUAACCUGGGGACUGCAUUUGAUACUGGGUUGCUUGAAUUCGGGAGAGGAUAGCGGAAUUCCCAGUGUAGAGGUGAAAUUCGUAGAUAUUGGGAAGAACACCAGUGGCGAAGGCGGCUAACUGGUCCGGUACUGACGCUGAGGUGCGAAAGCGUGGGGAGCAAACAGG
rnacentral:rRNA from 1 species